rnacentral:rRNA from 1 species
AUUGAACGCUGGCGGCAGGCUUAACACAUGCAAGUCGUACGGUAACAGAGGGAAGCUUGCUUCUCUGCUGACGAGUGGCGGACGGGUGAGUAAUGUCUGGGAAGCUGCCUGCUUGGAGGGGGAUAGCGGAGCGAAAGUUCCGAUAAUACCGCGUAAGCCCGAGAGGGAAAGUGCGGGACCGCAAGGCCGCACGCGAGCAGAUGCGCCCAGAUGGGAUUAGAUAGUUGGCGGGGUAACGGCCCACCAAGUCGACGAUCAGUAGCCGGACUGAGAGGUUGAACGGCCACAUUGGGACUGAGACACGGCCCAGACUCCUACGGGAGGCAGCAGUGGGGGAUAUUGCACAAUGGGCGAAAGCCUGAUGCAGCAAUGCCGCGUGAGGGAAGAAGGUUUUCGGAUUGUAAACCUCUGUCCCUGAUGACGAAGUAAGUGACGGUAAUCAGGGAGGAAGCCACGGCUAACUACGUG